GAUGAAGAACGUAGCGAAAUGCGAUACGUAAUGUGAAUUGCAGAAUUCAGUGAAUCAUCGAAUCUUUGAACGCCUAUUGCGAUCUCUGGUAUUCCGGAGAGCAUGCUUGUUUGAGUAUCAGUAAACACCUCAACUUCCAUAUCUUUUUUGAAAUGGGAGUUGGACUUGAGUGAUCCCAACGCUUUUCCUCACCGAAAAGUGGCGGGUUACUUGAAAUGCAGGUGCAGCUGGACUUUUCUCUGAGCUAUAAGCAUAUCUAUUUAGUCUGCCUAAAAAACAGAUUAUUACCUUUGCUGCAGCUAACAUAAAGGAGAUUAGUUCUUGUGCUGACUGAUGCAGGAUUCACAAAGACGGCUUCGGCCGACUUUGUAAACUCGAUCUCAAAUCAAGUAAGACUACCCGCUGAACUUAAGCAUAUCAAUAAGCGGAGGA
rnacentral:misc_RNA from 1 species